CCUACGGGUGACUGCAGUCGAGAAUCAUUCACAAUGGGGGAAACCCUGAUGGUGCGACGCCGCGUGGGGGAAUGCAGGUCUUCGGAUUGUAAACCCCUGUCAUGUGGGAGCAAAUUAAAAAGAUAGUACCACAAGAGGAAGAGACGGCUAACUCUGUGCCAGCAGCCGCGGUAAUACAGAGGUCUCAAGCGUUGUUCGGAAUCACUGGGCGUAAAGCGUGCGUAGGCUGUUUCGUAAGGCGUGUGUGAAAGGCGCGGGCUCAACCCGCGGACGGCACAUGAUACUGCGAGACUAGAGUGAUGGAGGGGGAACCGGAAUGCUCGGUGUAGCAGUGAAAUGCGUAGAUAUCGAGAGGAACACUCGUGGCGAAGGCGGGUUCCUGGACAUUAACUGACGCUGAGGCACGAAGGCCAGGGGAGCGAAAGGGAUUAGAUACCCCUGUAGUC
rnacentral:rRNA from 1 species